GCCACCGUAGCUUAGCCCGGAAGAGCGGCUGACUUGUAAAAUCAGCAGGUCGGGGGUUCGAAUCCCCCCGGUGGCU
rnacentral:tRNA from 1 species